UAAAAACCCCGACUUCGGAAGGGGUGUAUUUAUUAGAUACAAAACCAAUGCCCUUCGGGGCUCUUUGGUGAUUCAUGAUAACUAUACGAAUCGCACGGCCUUGCGCCGGCGAUGGUUCAUUCAAAUUUCUUCCCUAUCAACUUUCGAUGUUUGGGUAUUGGCCAAACAUGGUUGCAACGGGUAACGGAGGGUUAGGGCUCGACCCCGGAGAAGGAGCCUGAGAAACGGCUACUACAUCCAAGGAAGGCAGCAGGCGCGCAAAUUACCCAAUCCCGACUCGGGGAGGUAGUGACAAUAAAUACUGAUACAGGGCCCUUUCGGGCCUUGUAAUUGGAAUGAGUACAAUUUAAAUCCCUUAACGAGGAACAAUUGGAGGGCAAGUCUGGUGCCAGCAGCCGCGGUAAUUCCAGCUCCAACAGCGUAUAUUAAAGUUGUUGUGGUUAAAAAGCUCGUAGUUGAACCUUGGGCCUGGCUGGCCGGUCCGCCUCACCGCGUGCACUGGUCCGGCCGGGCCUUUCCCUCUGUGGAACCCCAUACCCUUCACUGGGCGUGGCGGGGAGACAGGACAUUUUACUU
rnacentral:rRNA from 1 species